AUUAACUUUGCGGUGCAUCGGUUCUCUGUUUUUACUUAAAACCAGAGAUUAAAAGGGAAUCAGGUGAAAAUCCUGAACAGUCCCGCUGCUGUAAGUUUCUAUAAAACGUUAUAAGCAAACACUCAAUACCACUGAACUAUAGUUGUUCGGGAAGGAGCUUAAUAACGGAAACGAGUCAGAAGACCUGCCAUGCUUGUAUUUCAACA
rfam:Bacteroides luti strain DSM 26991 genome assembly, contig: Ga0131163_121